rnacentral:rRNA from 1 species
UGGGGAAUAUUGCGCAAUGGGCGAAAGCCUGACGCAGCAACGCCGCGUGUGUGAUGAAGCCCUUCGGGGUGUAAAGCACUGUUGCAGGGGAAUAAAUUGCAUUGAGUUAAUACCUCAGUGCAUUGAAGGUACCCUGUGAGGAAGCGCCGGCUAACUCUGUGCCAGCAGCCGCGGUAAGACAGAGGGCGCAAGCGUUGUUCGGAAUCACUGGGCGUAAAGCGUUCGUAGGCGGCUUGACAGGUCGGGAGUGAAAUCCCUCGGCUUAACCGAGGAAUUGCUUUCGAAACCGUUAAGCUGGAAUACCGGAGAGGGAAGCGGAACUCCUGGUGUAGGGGUGAAAUCCGUAGAUAUCAGGAGGAACACCUGUGGCGAAGGCGGCUUCCUAGACGAGUAUUGACGCUG